AUUGAACGCUGGCGGCAUGCCUUACACAUGCAAGUCGAACGGUAACAGGUUAAGCUGACGAGUGGCGAACGGGUGAGUAAUAUAUCGGAACGUGCCCAGUCGUGGGGGAUAACGUAGCGAAAGCUAAGCUCAUACCGCAUACGAUCUACGGAUGAAAGCGGGGGAUCGCAAGACCUCGCGCGAUUGGAGCGGCCGAUAUCAGAUUAGGUUGUUGGUGAGGUGAAAGCUCACCAAGCCUGCGAUCUGUAGCUGGUCUGAGAGGACGACCAGCCACACUGGAACUGAGACACGGUCCAGACUCCUACGGGAGGCAGCAGUGGGGAAUUUUGGACAAUGGACGCAAGUCUGAUCCAGCAAUGCCGCGUGCAGGACGAAGGCCUUCGGGUUGUAAACUGCUUUUGUACGGAACGAAACGGUGAGCUCUAAUACAGUUUGCUAAUGACGGUACCGUAAGAAUAAGCACCGGCUAACUACGUGCCAGCCGCCGCAGUAA
rnacentral:rRNA from 1 species